GGCCCUUAGCUCAGUGGUUAGAGCAGGCGACUCAUAAUCGCUUGGUCGUUGGUUCAAACCCAACAGGGCCACCA
rnacentral:tRNA from 1 species